GCUUUUGUGGUGUAGUGGUCAGCACGCUCGACGCGUAGUCGAGAGGCCAGGGGUUCGAUUCCCGGAGAGGGCG
rnacentral:tRNA from 1 species